rnacentral:lncRNA from 1 species
GAGGGACUCGACCAACCAUGAUGCUCGGUUAAGUCAACACCUUCGUUACAAGAUGAGUUUGAUUUGAUGAUAUACUCUCGAGGGACUCGACCAAGUAUACCAUGCCCUCAGGUCACCGGUGACAUCUCUAUGUCGUAAGCAAGAUAGCGAAUCACGAUAUAGGUGAGUCUCGAGGGACUCAACCAACUCAACCUACACCGGGAAUCGGUUCCUACUUAUAACGAUGGAAGGCCACGUGGGUCAAUCUAAUUGCCUCACGUUUACCGACUUAAUAUUAUCGAGAAAUGUUUCUAUGAUUUGGUCUCCUAAUAUGACAUGUCACACAUAUACAUAUUUAAUAUAUAUCUACAUCGCAUGCAAAUAUAUAUACAUAUCUAGUAUGUGCAUAAGCAAUCACACCAGAUGAUCAUGGACCACAACCUAAUAUGAUUAGGCCCGAGCUAGUAGGCCUAAUCACUCACAUCAAGAUCUAUGUGUGCA